rnacentral:rRNA from 1 species
CUACGGGGUGCAGCAGUGGGGAAUAUUGCACAAUGGAGGAAACUCUGAUGCAGCAACGCCGCGUGGAGGGUGACACUUUUCGGAGCGUAAACUCCUUUUAUAUAGGAAGAAGAUGACGGUACUAUAUGAAUAAGCGCCGGCUAACUCCGUGCCAGCAGCCGUGGUAAUACGGAGGGCGCAAGCGUUACUCGGAAUCACUGGGCGUAAAGAGCGUGUAGGCGGAUUAAAAAGUCAGAAGUGAAAUCCUAUAGCUUAAAUAUAGAACUGCUUCUGAAACUCUUAAUCUAGAAUAUGGGAGAGGUAGAUGGAAUUUCUGGUGUAGGGGUAAAAUCCGUAGAGAUCAGAAGGAAUACCGAUUGCGAAGGCGAUCUACUAGAACAUUAUUGACGCUGAGACGCGAAAGCGUGGGGAGCAAACAGGAUUAGAUACCCGGGUAGUC